CUGGGCGGCCGUCUGGCAGGACUUUCUGUUUGGUUCCUGUGUAUCUGGGGAGGCCGGAAAGGACAAGCAACACUUGCUCACCUCAAGAGGAGGAAGAUGGAACUGGGCACCUGCCUCUAUCUGCUAAAUCCGGCCACUCUACCUGGGUCACACAGCUAGUAACUGACACAAGAAAAUGAAGCGGAGUCUACAUCUGAUGCCGGACAUCAGGCUCUGGUCCUCUGGUUUGCUAUCUGCCUGG
rnacentral:lncRNA from 1 species